rnacentral:misc_RNA from 1 species
CUUCACACCACUAUUGUUGGAGUGUUUUCUUGUUUGACAGAACAUGAUGUGGAAUCUUAGAUAGUCACAGCUAAAGUCUGGUUGGGGUUUCUAUUCUUUGUUUGAGCUGACAAAAGACCAAAUUUAAGUGAAAAAGGCAAUUGAAGCAUGUGCACGCACGCAUGCGCGUGCACACACGCAUAUAUAUAGGGGGAUUGGAUGUUUUUAUGAAACUCACUUGCAUAGUUAUUAAAGGCUCAAGGCGCACUAAGGCGCCAAGUGAUCCUAGAGCCUAGGUGCAAGGCGCAAGGUGAAGGCGCACGGCUGAGCAAAAUGAGGCG